rnacentral:rRNA from 1 species
GUAUACAGCCAUACUACCCUGAAUGUACCCAAUCUCAUUUGAUCUUAGAUGCUAAGCAGGGUCCUACCUGGUUGGUACUUGGAUGAGAGACCACCUAGUAAUACCUGGUGUUACAGGUU